rnacentral:rRNA from 1 species
GCGUAAUAGCUCACUGGUCGAGUCGGCCUGCGCGGAAGAUGUAACGGGGCUAAACCAUGCACCGAAGCUGCGGCAGCGACACUAUGUGUUGUUGGGUAGGGGAGCGUUCUGUAAGCCGUUGAAGGUGGCCUGUGAGGGUUGCUGGAGGUAUCAGAAGUGCGAAUGCUGACAUAAGUAACGAUAAAGCGGGUGAAAAGCCCGCUCGCCGGAAGACCAAGGGUUCCUGUCCAACGUUAAUCGGGGCAGGGUGAGUCGACCCCUAAGGCGAGGCCGAAAGGCGUAGUCGAUGGGAAACAGGUUAAUAUUCCUGUACUUGGUGUUACUGCGAAGGGGGGACGGAGAAGGCUAUGUCAGCCGGGCGACGGUUGUCCCGGUUUAAGCAUGUAGGCGGAGGUUCCAGGUAAAUCCGGUACCUUAUUAACGCUGAGGUGUGAUGACGAGGCACUACGGUGCUGAAGUGAUAAAUGCCCUGCUUCCAGGAAAAGCCUCUAAGCAUCAGGUAACACGAAAUCGUACCCCAAACCGACACAGGUGGUCAGGUAGAGAAUACCAAGGCGCUUGAGAGAACUCGGGUGAAGGAACUAGGCAAAAUGGUGCCGUAACUUCGGGAGAAGGCACGCUGAUGUGUAGGUGAAGCCCCUGCGGGCGGAGCUGAAAUCAGUCGAAGAUACCAGCUGGCUGCAACUGUUUAUUAAAAACACAGCACUGUGCAAACACGAAAGUGGACGUAUACGGUGUGACGCCUGCCCGGUGCCGGAAGGUUAAUUGAUGGGGUUAGCGGCAACGCGAAGCUCUUGAUCGAAGCCCCGGUAAACGGCGGCCGUAACUAUAACGGUCCUAAGGUAGCGAAAUUCCUUGUCGGGUAAGUUCCGACCUGCACGAAUGGCGUAAUGAUGGCCAGGCUGUCUCCACCCGAGACUCAGUGAAAUUGAACUCGCUGUGAAGAUGCAGUGUACCCGCGGCAAGACGGAAAGACCCCGUGAACCUUUACUAUAGCUUGACACUGAACACUGGUCCUUGAUGUGUAGGAUAGGUGGGAGGCUUUGAAGCGUGGACGCCAGUCUGCGUGGAGCCAACCUUGAAAUACCACCCUUUAAUGGCUGGUGUUCUAACGUAGACCCGUAAUCCGGGUUGCGGACAGUGUCUGGUGGGUAGUUUGACUGGGGCGGUCUCCUCCCAAAGAGUAACGGAGGAGCACGAAGGUUGGCUAAUCCUGGUCGGACAUCAGGAGGUUAGUGCAAUGGCAUAAGCCA